AUUGACCGCUGGCGGCAGGCCUAACACAUGCCAGUCGCGCGAGCGGCGGACGGGUGCGUAAUGUAUGGGGACUGCCCGAUAGAGGGGGAUCACUACUGGAAACGGUAGCUAAUACCGCAUACUAUCGGAUAACCCAUAUGGGAUGAGCUAGUAGGUGAGGUAAUGGUUCACCUGGGAGCGGAGCCCUAGCUGUGCUGAGAGGAUGAUCAGCAACACUGGGACUGAGACACGGCCCAGACUCCGACGGAGGCAGCAGUGGGGAAUAUGGCAAAAUGGGCGCAAGCCUGAUGCAGCCAUGCCGCGUGUAUGAAGAAGGCCCUAGGUUUGUAAAGUACUUUCAGUCGGGAGGCGUUACCGACAGAAGAAGCACCGGCUAACUCCGUGCCAGCAGCCGCGGUAAUUC
rnacentral:rRNA from 1 species